rnacentral:rRNA from 1 species
GACGAACGCUGGCGGCGUGCCUAAUACAUGCAAGUUGAGCGCUGAAGGUUGGUACUUGUACCAACUGGAUGAGCAGCGAACGGGUGAGUAACGCGUGGGGAAUCUGCCUUUGAGCGGGGGGCAACAUUUGGAAACGAAUGCUAAUACCGCAUAAAAACUUUAAACACAAGUUUUAAGUUUGAAAGAUGCAAUUGCAUCACUCAAAGAUGAUCCCGCGUUGUAUUAGCUAGUUGGUGAGGUAAAGGCUCACCAAGGCGAUGAUACAUAGCCGACCUGAGAGGGUGAUCGGCCACAUUGGGACUGAGACACGGCCCAAACUCCUACGGGAGGCAGCAGUAGGGAAUCUUCGGCAAUGGACGAAAGUCCGACCGAGCAACGCCGCGUGAGUGAAGAAGGUUUUCGGAUCGUAAAACUCUGUUGGUAGAGAAGAACGUUGGUGAGAGUGGAAAGCUCAUCAAGUGACGGUAACUACCCAGAAAGGGACGGCUAACUACGUG